rnacentral:miRNA from 1 species
CAGGACACUGAGUUAAAUGUGAAUUUCAGGUAAACAAUGAAUAAUAUUUUAGUAUAAGUAUGUCCCAUACAAUAUUUGGGACAUACUUAUACUAAAAAAAAAUUAAUUGAUUGUCUGAGAUUUACAUUUAAGCUAGAGUCCUAUA